AGGUUCAGGCCCCACAGCCCCCAUCAGGGCAGCCCACGCCUGCCAGCACCUGAGCCGAGCAAGCCCAAAAUAGAAAGAACCAAAUAAGGUAAAGCCGCGCCUCACCUUAGAACUGCCUGCAGAUCAGCCGCUCAUGCAGCCUGCGCUGCUGUCAAGUGACAGCGGGCAGACGUCUACUGAGGAGCCCCGAGCAGGUGGUCCACUCAGCCCAGCCCACCCCAGGGCCAGCUGGGGCAUCUGUACAGGCGAAGGGAUCCAGCAUGGCCAAGCAGUGGACUGGGCCCAGUGAUGAGCACUUGGGACUGCAGAGUGCUGGGUGGAAUUGUAGGGUCCCCAGCUCGACCAGGGACUGGGGGGGUCAGCUCUGCAGACCCAGGGGGCAGAGCAUGCAGGCCAGCAUUGAGGGCCCACAUGAGAUGGAUCUGGAAGGCAGAGAUUUGAGGACCCUCAGGAUGAAUUCCACAGCACGGUCUGUGACUGUGAUGGACACCUGGCCCCAAGAGAGGCCAUGUCUGACAGGGCCUCGGGCACUGCAGGGCUGCGUCCCCACGGCCUGUCUGACAAGAGCUUGGUCCCCACACCCUCCCCAGACCACAUCCCAAGUCAGUUCUGCUGAGACCAGAGGCUUCACUUUCCCCCUGUGGGAGAUGAAGGAGCUGCGUCUCCUCCUGACCCAGCUGUGGAAAGUCACAGGGAAACAGGGAAGGGUGGGGUCAAACCCAUGCGUCCCUCCGAACGUACCUCAGGCCACAUCGGGAGGCCGUCAGACUCAGAUUGUGCUCAAGCCAAACAGGUAAGCCCUGGUACAGGUAAGCCCUGACACAAGUAAGCCAUGGCACAGGUAAGCCAUGGCACAGGUAAGCUCUGGCAGAGGUAAGCCAUGGCACAGGUAAACCCUGAUACAGGUAAGCUGUGGUACAGGUAAGCUGUGGCAAAGGUUAAGCCAGGGCACAGGUAAGCCCUGGCAGAGGUAAGCCCUGGCACAGGUAAGCUUCGGCACAGGUAAGCCCCAGCACAGGUAAGCCCUGGUACAGGUAAGCCCCACUGUUGUCCGCAGAGGAAGGGAGGGAGUUGGACCAAAUGCUCAGCCCUGAUGUCAGACCUAGGGUGGGAGGAGUUGGGAAGCCACAUGGCUGGGUGUCAGCUGGGGCUGAAUGUGGCCUGGAGGGGGCCCCUCCUCUCUGAGGAAAGCCCACCACCCUGCAGACCCCAGGGCCAGGUGGGGUAGUUGCUGUUUGGGGUGGGGGUGCCUGAAGGAGGCACCCCCACAGAGCUUCAGCCUUCCUGAUGGCCGACCACGGGGCUGCAGCACCUGGUCUAUGUGCCAAGCUCUGAGCAGGCCUGUCCCUCUCAAUGGUGUCCACAGCCUCUUCAUUACCCAUGGGGGCCUGUGACGCUAGCAAGCAGAGAGGCCGUGUGUGGCUCCCGGGCCUGCGGUUCCUCCCCACCAGGCCACUCUUCCCCCCCUUUUCCUCUCCCCUGCCUUCUCCCCCACUGACCCAGCUCCUGGUCCAGCCUCCUCCUGUCCCAUCUCCUCCCCCGCCCUUACCUCACUGUCCCUCCCCUGCCCCUCACCCAGCCCCCAGCCCCUGUCUCCUCCAUCCCUGGCCCUCCCUCACCUUCUCUCCUGUCCACUUGAGCUGUGACCACUGCAGGGGGCCUGGAGCCCUGGGCCCAGUGUCAGCUGCACCCCCUUUUUGUCUCUGUUGGAAACAGGACCAUCACUCCCUUCCAUACCCAGAGCUGGCCAGUGAGCACGGGUGUCACCUGUGGAACUCACGGCAAGGCCACAGGAUGGUCACAGAGCAGGGACCAAGCCAUCAUCCUCAUCCUGCCUUGGCCACCAACCCAUCCAUCUGCCACACACCAGGACCUCUGAAGCAGCGGAGCAGUGGGCCAGGCGCCUGGCACCACAUGCAAGCAGAACUAUCCCAUUCUCAUCCUCUGGUCAGGGACGGGGCACUCCCAGAAGCCAUGUCCACCAGCCCUGGCAGAGGCGGCGCAGCUGAGCAGAUGCAGAGUGUCAAGUCACAGCAGGUCACUCAGAGCCCUGGGGGCCAGGACCCUCGCUACACCGCCCCCGACAGGCCUGGGCUCUUCCUCCUCUGCCAUGGCUGCUCCCCCAGCCAGCUGCCCUGCCCUGCCCUGCACAUCAGUGUCCGCUUCCUCCAGACAGUGCCAGGCCACAAGAGCACCUGUCAGAGCGGCUUCCCAGGGAAUCAGGAUGGUGUCCUUAGCAGCCAUGGGGCUCCCUCCCGACUUCAGAAUGGACAGUGCCCGCCACCAGCCAGCCAAACACAGGCCAGAACAAGCAGAGCUCUGGGCAGCUUGUUUUCCACCUAUUAACACUAAUCUGUUUUUCUUCUGCAUUUCCAAAUUCCUCCCUUCAGGUCUCAGACACAGUAUGCACAGCCAGAUGAGACCGGCUUAGUCCCGGCUUUGCCGCUUAUGAACAGUGUGACCCUGGGAAGCGCUGACAACCCUCCUGACCAUGACUGCUUNUGGGUAUUGAUCGGGAUUCUAAAGAGCCUGAGGUUGGGACUGGUCAGGGCCUCCUGGCCCACAAUGGGGUGAUCACAGUAAUGGGCAGGAACCCCUACUGGCACAGGGUGUUAGGCUGACGUGGUCACCACAGACACGUCCAAGGGAGACUUUCUGAACAGGUGCCAGUCUGUCUUUGGGCACUUUAAUUACAGCUCCAAGUUUGGCAGGGGAGUUGUUACUACUGACUUAGUCCCGCUCUGGUAGCUCUGGAUGGGCUGAGGCUGCCCUGGACAGGAGGUGGAUUUUGUGGGGUCAUUUGAGCUGGGUCCUGGGUCUGUGACUGGGUGACACCAUCUCAUUCUGCUGCCUGGCUGGGACCCAGUUUUCUAAUGACAAAGAGGGAGACCUCAUCUUGUUUAUCCACUUAGUGAUUCCAAAACCUCUGGGGACUUGUAUGUGUCUAAAAGUGGGGACCCCGGGCCUCCAGGGCUUCAGGAUUCCAGGGGAACUCGGGGCAAGAAGGAGGCUGCGGAUGGAGGGCACCCAGGCUGACUGGGGGCGUGGGAGGGGCGGGGCGGGGGGCGAGGCAGGUUCUAUGAGGUUCAGGCCCCACAGCCCCCAUCAGGGCAGCCCACGCCUGCCAGCACCUGAGCCGAGCAAGCCCAAAAUAGAAAGAACCAAAUAAGGUAAAGCCGCGCCUCACCUUAGAACUGCCUGCAGAUCAGCCGCUCAUGCAGCCUGCGCUGCUGUCAAGUGACAGCGGGCAGACGUCUACUGAGGAGCCCCGAGCAGGUGGUCCACUCAGCCCAGCCCACCCCAGGGCCAGCUGGGGCAUCUGUACAGGCGAAGGGAUCCAGCAUGGCCAAGCAGUGGACUGGGCCCAGUGAUGAGCACUUGGGACUGCAGAGUGCUGGGUGGAAUUGUAGGGUCCCCAGCUCGACCAGGGACUGGGGGGGUCAGCUCUGCAGACCCAGGGGGCAGAGCAUGCAGGCCAGCAUUGAGGGCCCACAUGAGAUGGAUCUGGAAGGCAGAGAUUUGAGGACCCUCAGGAUGAAUUCCACAGCACGGUCUGUGACUGUGAUGGACACCUGGCCCCAAGAGAGGCCAUGUCUGACAGGGCCUCGGGCACUGCAGGGCUGCGUCCCCACGGCCUGUCUGACAAGAGCUUGGUCCCCACACCCUCCCCAGACCACAUCCCAAGUCAGUUCUGCUGAGACCAGAGGCUUCACUUUCCCCCUGUGGGAGAUGGAGGAGCUGCGUCUCCUCCUGACCCAGCUGUGGAAAGUCACAGGGAAACAGGGAAGGGUGGGGUCAAACCCAUGCGUCCCUCGGAACGUACCUCAGGCCACAUCGGGAGGCCAUCAGACUCAGAUUGUGCUCAAGCCAAACAGGUAAGCCCUGGCACAGGUAAGCCAUGGCACAGGUAAGCCCUGGCAGAGGUUAGCCAUGGCACAGGUAAGCCAUGGCACAGGUAAGUCCUGGUACAGGUAAGCUGCGGCAAAGGUAAGCCAUGGCACAGGUAAGCCGUGGCACAGGUAAGCCCCAACAGAGGUAAGCCCAGGUAAGCCCCGGCACAGGUAAGCCCUGGCACAGGUAAGCCCCACUGUUGUCUGCAGAGGAAGGGAGGAAGUUGGACCAAGUGCUCAGCCCUGAUGUCAGACCUGGGUGGGAGGAGUUGGAAAGCCACAUGGCUGGGUGUCAGCUGGGGCUGAAUGUGGCCUGGAGGAAGCCCCUCCUCCCUGAGGAAAGCCCACCACCUGCAGACCCCAGGGCCAGGUGGGGCAGUUGCUGUUUGGGGUGGGGGUGCCUGAAGGAGGCACCCCCACAGAGCUGAGCCUUCCAGAUGGCCGACCACGGCCCUGGUGCCCGGGGCUGCAGCACGUGGUCUGUGUGCCAAGCUCUGAGCAGGCCUGUCCCUCUCAGUGGUGUCCACAGCCUCCUCAUCACCCAUGGGGCCUGUGACGUCAGCAAGCAGAGAGGCCGUGUGUGGCUCCUGGGCCUGCGGUUCCUCCACACUGGGCCACUCUUGCCCCCUUCUCCUCUCCCCUCCCUUCUCCCCCACUGACCCAGCUCCUGGUCCAGCCUCCUCCUGUCCCAUCUCCUCCCCUGCCUUCACCUCACUGUCCCUCCCCUGCCCCUCACCCAGCCCCCAGCCCCUGUCUCCUCCCUCCCUGGCCCUCACUCACCGUCUCUCCUGUCCACCUGGGCUGUGACCACUGCAGGGGGCCUGGAGCCCUGGGCCCAGCGUCAGCUGCACCCCCCUUUUGUCUCUGUUGGAAGCAGGACCAUCACUCCCUUCCACACCCAGAGCUGGCCAGUGAGCACGGGCGUCACCUCUGAAACUCGCGGCAAGGCCACAGGAUGGUCACAGAGCAGGGACCAAGCCAUCAUCCUCAUCCUGCCUUGGCCACCAACCCAUCCAUCUGCCACACACCAGGACCCCAGAAGCAGUGGGGCAGAGGGCCAGGCGCCUGGCACCAUGUGCAGGCAGAACCACCCCAUUCUCAUCCUCUGGUCAGGGACGGGCACUCCCAGAGGCCGUGUCCACCAGCCCUGGCAGAGACGGGGCAGCUGAGCGGAUGCAGAGUGUCAAGUCACAGCAGGUCCCUCAGAGCCCUGGGGGGCCAGGACCCUUGCUGCACCGCCCCUGACAGGCCUGGGCUCUUC
rnacentral:lncRNA from 1 species